AGAUGCAGGGGGUGGUGGCGAGGCUCCGCAACUUUGGAAACUGCCAUUUCAUUCACACAAGGCACUGCCUGGGGGAGGGGGCUGUUCCUGGCUGCAGAAUUCUAGCUCUCACGAGCACGCAGACAACCGCACUCGCAGCGGUGUGGGGCCGGCUGCUCAGGGGAAGCCCCAGGCUCUCCGACCCAGCUACCGGGAAUGGGGCACCCUUUGGAGAAGAACCCCAGCCUGGGGUGGGGACGCACCGGCUCUCCGACAGCUCAAACACAGACAGAUCUUCUAGAGCCGAGGGAAUUUCUUUUCGCAGAAGCCAUUACUCCCCCCGAGAGAAGGCUGCAAAGCUGGGAAGCCCAGGGUGUGCUCCUCCCGCCCUUUUGGACCCCCGGGCUUGCACCGGCUGCACUCUGAGAACCAGCUGCGCGCGGAGCGGUGCAAUGCAGCACCCACCCUGCGAGCCUGGCAAUUGCUUGUCAUUAAAAGAAAAAAAAAUUACGGAGGGCUCCGGGGGUGUGUGUUGGGGAGGGGAGACCGAUGCUUCUAACCCAGCCCCCGCUUUGACUGCGUGUUGUGCAGCUGAGCGCGAGGCCAACGUUGAGCAAGGCCUUGCAGGGAGGUUGCUCCUGUGUAAUUACGAAAGAAGGCUAGUCCGAAGGUGCAAAAUAGCAGGGAGAGGACGCGCCCCCUUAGGAACAAGACCUCUGGAUGUUUCCAGUUUCAAAUUGAAAGAAGAGGGGCGCCCCCCUUGUUUGAAAAUAAAUAAAUAAAUAAGUGCGAGCUAC
ensembl:lncRNA MYCNOS MYCN opposite strand